AGAUGGGGAACUCUUGCAAGCCGUGUCCAUUGGACUGUGGCUGCACCCUGGAGUACCCCCAUGCUCACCAUCAAAGGUAUAAGGGGAGGUGCUGAUUGACCACUUCUCCAAUUUCUUCUCUUACAUGAACCAUCAUGAUCUGAAGCAGACGGGAAGGAGCAGGGGUAAUGGAAUACAGAUAGGGACCACACCGCUCAAAGAGCCUCCAAUUACAGCUUAUCUGAUGUCAAGAGAGUGAAGCCUCCACUCUUCGCUGAAGUUAUGAGGUUUCAGAAAGAAUAUUGAUUACCAUAGGUGCCAAGAGGCAGAGCGAAGAUAAGAUUGUCACCUGAACUUCCUGGCUAGAUCUGCCUAUUAGAAGCCAGUUGUCCAAGUACAGGAAAAUGGGGUUGCUGUUUUGUCUCAUCUGUGCUACUACCACUGAGAAGACCUUUUUGAAGACUCUGGGUGCUGUUGCCAUACAGAACAGGAGUGCUCAGAAAUGCAAGUGUCCCUGUGCUACCAGAAACCUGAGGAAUCUCCUGUGGGAAUGGUGAAUAUUUACACGGAAACAAACACCUUUCCUGAACCAUAUUUCUUUUUCCAGGGAGGGAAUUACUGAUACCAAUUUAGCCAUGGGGAAUUUUAGUUUGCAAAUAAAAGUAUUUAGUUGAUGCAAGUCAAGAAUGGGCAGCCAUCCUCCCUUUUUCUUGGGAACUGAGAAAUAUUGGGAGUAGAAUCCUUUACCUUGAUGCUGCGGUGGCACUCGCUCGAUAGCCCCUCAUUCAAGCAGGGAGUACCCCUCUUAUUGGAAGAUCUCCUCGUGAGUUGCUGAAGAGAGGCUGGGAGGAGGGGUUGUGGGGAGGUGGGAAAGAAGCUUGAUGGUACAGCCCAAGUGGAUAAUAUCUAGUACCUAUUUGUCCACUGUUGUAGCACUCCAGCUAUGCGUGAAGUAUGCUAGGUGGCCACCAAAGGUUUGGGAAAUAGGUGGGGAGUGAUUUGGUUUGCAACUCUUAGAUGUCCUUUCAGAAAUAACUUUUAGCUGGUGGAUGAGGUUGGAUGGCUGACAUCGAGAUUGAUGGGUUUGCAUACAUUGGUCUUUGCAACUUCUGAUGCUUGCAUAACAGUUCGUAUGGUCAUUGGCUGCAAUAAAAGCUGUGGAAGAAGCCUGGGUUUAUAUAUCUGUUUAUGAUGUUUCCUCUUUGGGGCUAGGGUAUAAAUGCCCAGGGAACAAAGGAUUGUCCUUGAGUCUUUUAAUGAGUGCAAGCCCUCAAUGGUGUUCUGAAUCUCUCAGAGGAAUCCUCAAGAAGCCACAAUUCAUGCCACAUUACCAUUGGAAUUGCUAUGGUUCUAGAUAUGGGAUCAGCCAUGUCAACUGCAGCUUGGAGUGAAGUUUGUGCCAUGAGUCUACCCUGUCCUCCUGAGUAAAUUUAUCUGUAUAGUCCAAGAACUUGGAAUCAUUCAUAAAAUCAUACUUUACUAACAGGGCCUGGUAGUUAGCAACUCUAAACUGGAGGCUGAUGGAUGUGAACACCUUCCGCCUCAGAAUGUCAAAACAUUUAGCACUCUUCUCUGCAAGGGUAGUCUUGGGGUGUUGUUGCCUAGAUCCUUCCAUGGCUGCUCGUACAACUAGAGAGUUAGAGGCAGGAUGAGUGAAGAAAAAUUCUGACCCUUUCACAGGGACAAAGUAUCAUCACUCAACUCUUUUGGGGGUAAAAGAGCAUGAUGUAGGUGUGUGCCAUACCAACCUGGUAGGUUCCUAGGUAGCCUCAUUUACUGGGAGACCUACCCGAUUGGGUCCCCUGGGCUGUACAAUGAACAAGAGCUUAUGCUGUGUGUCAUGAACUUCCUCGAGUGGGAUCUGAAGUUCAGUUGCCACCCUCUGCAAGAGUUCUGGGUAGUGCUUGUGGUUAAUCAGGCAGGGAUAAUGAAGAUGGGGCAAUUGACUCAUUGGGCAAGGAGGAUGAUUCACCUGUCUGUACCAGUAUAUCCAGCUCAACGUCUUCCUCCUCUGUUUACUUCAGAGGAGCCAAUUGCUAUUGCCUAAGGGAAGAGGACUGGUGAGACUCUCACACAGAUCCAGGAUACCACAUAUAGGAAUCCCAUGGACCCCAAUAAGGCCAGUUCAAAGGCUGGUGGGGAGAGGAUCCCCAAGGCACUGGGCCAGGGCCAAUCACGGGGGGGCCAGGAGGGCCAUUUGGCCUGGGCCUCAAGCUCAAAGAGGGCCUCAAAUUUAGACACUUUUUAUUUUUGGGGGCAUUUGAUAAGUUUCGCAACUUGUUUUUAUGUGCAUCCCAAUCGGACCAAAAUGUGACACUCUCUCUAGGCUUAGAGCUUCAAAUUUAAUGUGAUUUGGUAAAAAACCAUUGUUUUGCACAGAAAAAGGCAAGAAAAGCAUUUCAUACCAAUAUUCAAAUUAUUUCUCACUCUUUUUUUGGUGCCUUAUUUUGUUUUCAUGUGUCAUCAUUUUUUAUUUUUAUUAUGGCUAGGGGCCUCAAAAGCUGGAAGUGGCACAGGCCUCUCUGGACCUCUGAAAGGGCCUGCAUUGGGCACCAGUGGUCCCUGGGAUGGUAGUCUUGUCUGUUUGGAGGAUGGCUCCAGGACAGUCUAGAAGCUCUGCCUGGGCUAACCUCCCUUUAUAGAGGUGAUGGUUUCCCCUGGACAUCAACUUCAACCCAUGAAAAGGUCAGAUCCAGUUCCAUCACUGGUACUCUGUGCUGAUAGAUGGAGUAGGGGAGUAGCUCUUUCUUCUUGAAGUGGAUUCCUCUUCUGAUGUCAGAACAGUCCCACCUGGAGCUUUUGAUCAGUGCCAGAAAAUGCCAAUUCUUCAGCUUACCAGCAGGUACCUGAGUCGGUACCACUGGAUCCUUGUCCUCGGCCCCUUGCUCUCAUGGUCAGGAGACUUAAGCAGCUCUUAACUCUGAAGCACCUGAACAUAAGGACUCACCUGAGUUGGAAGGAGUCGGGGAGGGAUCCUUUCUUUUUGGAGCAGAUGUGGAAGGAGAUAUGUUCUUGUGCCCAUGAGUCUGCCCUUACUCUUGUGAGAGGCCUAAGACAACCAGUCUUUGGCUAUAUCACAUCUGGCCUCCGCUCCAGAGCUCAUGGUUGGAAGGGCACUACUCAAGGGCUGAGGCUGAUGUGCAGGGAGUUGUGAAACUGCACCCCAUAGUCUUCAGAGUGAUAUGACAUAAUUAAAAUGAAUUUUAUGCAAGAUAAGUCAUGUGAAAUGUCAUUGGAAAGGUUAUGAUUUGCUGAAUAUGAUUAUCCUAUUUGUAUGCAUGUAUCAUUUUUGUAUCUGAAGUUAUGAAUAUUGACUAUGUCUCUGCAUUUCAAAUGUAGUUACAUCUGGGGAACGCCUGCUAGACAAGAUGAUUUCAUUCUAGAUAGUGGGUGGGGAAUGGGUCAUUAGGAAAACAAUAGGCCUUAGGAGAAGCUUAUCUCCCACCUGAGGAGCCUUCUUGAGAAUGCUACAGACAGCCUCAGAGUAAUGGCUGCUAGGACUCUGCAAGGACAUGUGAUGAGACCACAUGUCUCUAGAUUUCAUCUUGGGAUGUCAGUGUUUUUCCACAGUCCAGUCUGGGAACCAAGCAUUGAAACAAACUAUUCCCGCCAUAUGAAAAAGCUAUAUAAGGCAGGGAGUGACAUCAUCUGGUGUUCUUCAUGCCCCACCCAAGAAGACUCCUGGAAACACCUGAGGAACAAGGACUGAACUGGGGGAACUGCUGGACCAAGACUAAAGGGAUUUCUAACCUGUUAAUGAAACAUCUGGGGAUUCCGAGCUGUAAAGCAAGUGCAGCUUGCCUCUUAAGAAUCUGCAGCCUGCUUGUAUCAUCUCUUAGGGUGAGAAUCUGCUAUUCAUAUCCAAUCUAUAUUAAGUUUAGUUUGUAU